rnacentral:tRNA from 1 species
UUCUAAUAUGGCAGAAUAGUGCAAAGAAUUUAAGCUUCUUAAAUAAAGUAAUACUUUUUUUAGAA